rnacentral:lncRNA from 1 species
GCGGCUGGCGGCGGAGAGGUUCCGGAUGUGCUUGGACAGCUCUGCGUUCUUGAGGUGGACGAAAGCCGCGCUGAUGAGCACCUCCCUCGUCUGAUCGCUGCAGAGAAUUGAAUCACACUACCACCUCAGUCGCUGUCCGUGCCAUCGUAGUAGUAAUAAUAAUAAUAAAUAAACAAAACAAACUAACUAAAAAGCCAUGUGCUGCGGUUUGUGUGGAUCAAGUAGCUCCUCUUGCUUUUUCCAGAACACGGCUCCGAUCGUGCCUUCCAUGCCAUCGCUUGUGGAUAAAGAAAAGCUAAUAACGAUAUGUACUACCAGUAGUACGAACCGCUAGAACAGAGGAAGUGCUAGUACUAGUACUCGAGUGAGUGAAGUGGGGAAGCCAUCAGAUAUUGAUCAGAUUCAUGGAGAAGGCAAGGUGAGCAGCAGCGGCGCAGAUCGAUGCGUCUCGAGCGAUGUGCUGUGCCAAAUCGGAUCGCACUAGGGCAGUAGCCAAUCGGAUCUUCCACGAAUCCCACCCACCAACCGAAUCGAACUCGAUUAUUACCUACUACUUACCUGAGGUAGUAAGGGAACUCGUCGAAGGUGACGUCGCACUCGCGGCCGUCGAGUACCAGCCGCCGCAGCUCGGCCUCCAGCUCUGCGCCGCCGGCGCCGAAACCGUCGCCGUUGGGCGCCGGCUGUACCGCCCACUUGGCCGACGCGAGCCCCA